rnacentral:tRNA from 2 species
CGCUAGGAAGCUAAACAUUGGACAAAGCAUUGGCCUUUUAAGCCAAAGAUUGGUGAUUCCCGACCACCCCUAGUGA